GACGAACGCUGGCGGCGUGCCUAAUACAUGCAAGUCGAGCGAGCUUGCCUAGAUGAAUUUGGUGCUUGCACCAAAUGGAACUAGAUACAAGCGAGCGGCGGACGGGUGAGUAACACGUGGGUAACCUGCCCAAGAGACUGGGAUAACACCUGGAAACAGAUGCUAAUACCGGAUAACAACACUAGACGCAUGUCUAGAGUUUAAAAGAUGGUUCUGCUAUCACUCUUGGAUGGACCUGCGGUGCAUUAGCUAGUUGGUAAGGUGACGGCUUACCAAGGCAAUGAUGCAUAGCCGAGUUGAGAGACUGAUCGGCCACAUUGGGACUGAGACACGGCCCAAACUCCUACGGGAGGCAGCAGUAGGGAAUCUUCCACAAUGGACGCAAGUCUGAUGGAGCAACGCCGCGUGAGUGAAGAAGGGUUUCGGCUCGUAAAGCUCUGUUGGUAGUGAAGAAAGAUAGAGGUAGUAACUGGCCUUUAUUUGACGGUAAUUACUUAGAAAGUCACGGCUAACUACGUGCCAGCAGCCGCGGUAAUACGUAGGUGGCAAGCGUUGUCCGGAUUUAUUGGGCGUAAAGCGAGUGCAGGCGGUUCAAUAAGUCUGAUGUGAAAGCCUUCGGCUCAACCGGAGAAUUGCAUCAGAAACUGUUGAACUUGAGUGCAGAAGAGGAGAGUGGAACUCCAUGUGUAGCGGUGGAAUGCGUAGAUAUAUGGAAGAACACCAGUGGCGAAGGCGGCUCUCUGGUCUGCAACUGACGCUGAGGCUCGAAAGCAUGGGUAGCGAACAGG
rnacentral:rRNA from 1 species